rnacentral:rRNA from 1 species
GAUGAACGCUAGCGGGAGGCCUAACACAUGCAAGCCGAGCGGUAUUGUUUCUUCGGGAAUGGGAGAGCGGCGUACGGGUGCGGGACACGUGUGCAACCUGCCUUUAUCUGGGGGAUAGCCUUUCGAAAGGAAGAUUAAUACUCCAUAACAUAUUGAACGGCAUCGUUUGAUAUUGAAAGCUCCGGCGGAUAGAGAUGGGCACGCGCAAGAUUAGCUAGUUGGUGAGGUAACGGCUCACCAAGGCGAUGAUCUUUAGGGGGCCUGAGAGGGUGAUCCCCCACACUGGUACUGAGACACGGACCAGACUCCUACGGGAGGCAGCAGUGAGGAAUAUUGGUCAAUGGGUGCAAGCCUGAACCAGCCAUCCCGCGUGAAGGACGACUGCCCUAUGGGUUGUAAACUUCUUUUGUAUAGGGAUAAACCUACCCUCGUGAGGGUAGCUGAAGGUACUAUACGAAUAAGCACCGGCUAACUCCGUGCCAGCCGCCGCCGUAACAC